AACGCGAAGAACCUUACCAGGGCUUGACAUGGUAUUGACCGGUUUAGAGAUAGACCUUUCCCUUCGGGGACGAUACACACAGGUGGUGCAUGGUUGUCGUCAGCUCGUGUCGUGAGAUGUUGGGUUAAGUCCCGCAACGAGCGCAACCCUUGUCUCGUGUUGCCAGCGCGUUAUGGUGGGGACUCACGAGAGACUGCCGGGGUUAACUCGGAGGAAGGUGGGGAUGACGUCAAAUCAUCAUGCCCCUUAUGUCUUGGGCUUCACGCAUGCUACAAUGGCCGGUACAGAGGGUGGCGAGGUCGUAAGGCUGAGCGAAUCCCUUAAAGCUGGUCUCAGUUCGGAUUGGGGUCUGCAACUCGACCCCAUGAAGUCGGAGUCGCUAGUAAUCGCGUAACAGCAUGACGCGGUGAAUACGUUCCCGGGUCUUGUACACACCGACGGUGUGUACAAGACCC
rnacentral:rRNA from 1 species